AUCUGAGCCAGGGGUGGGUAUGGCCUGUCUUUCACAGGUCUGGAUGACCCCGAGGGUGGGUCAGUGGGGUCUUUCUGUGGCUGUGCCGCUGUGUGUGUGGGAACCUCUGGGACCUUGGCCUUAGCUCAUUGUCAAGGGCAGAGGAGGAGAGGUUGCGACUCAGCAUCCCCACCCUGGCCACCCUCUGAACCUGCUUCGCUUUGGGUGGGUCUCCUCUCACCUGGGAGUUGGCCAAAGACCCCAGCAGAGGGGGCCACAUCCAUCUGUCUUCCACAAAGAGCCUCAUAAAAGGGCCCAGACUGAAAAUCAAUUCUUUAGAGCUGAAAUCAAUAACAAUAACUAAUAUUAAUACUGAUUAUGCUGCUUUAUUGCACUUUGCAGCUGGGAGGGGAUGUUUUUAAGGAUUCACGGAGGUGGUGCCUGGUAGAACGCAGCUCGGAGCCCAGAGCUGGGCAGGACGCUCCCCACGGGGCCUGUUUGGGCUGGCCUGCUCCCUGCCUUGGCUGAGUUUGCCAGUUGCAGCUCAUGACUGUGUGGACCUGCAGGUCCUGGGUGAGCAGAGCCUUGGGCAGGGCUCGACCUCGGCAUGCAGGCUGGGCACCGUGGAGGGGUGCGAGGGACAGGUCCCGGGGCCUGCUC
rnacentral:lncRNA from 1 species